rnacentral:misc_RNA from 1 species
GAUGAAGAACGUAGCGAAAUGCGAUAAGUAAUGUGAAUUGCAGAAUUCAGUGAAUCAUCGAAUCUUUGAACGCACAUUGCGCCCCUUGGUAUCCCGAGGGGCAUGCCUGUUCGAGCGUCAUUUCACCACUCAAGCCUGGCUUGGUGUUGGGCGACGUCCUCUUUGGGGACGCGCCUCGAAACGCUCGGCGGCGUGGCACCGGCUUUAAGCGUAGCAGAAUCUUUCGCUUUGGAAGUCGGGGCCCCGUCUGCCGGAAGACCUGCUCGCAAGGUUGACCUCGGAUCAGGCAGGGAUACCCACUGAACUUAAGCAUAUCAAUAAGCGGAGGA